rnacentral:lncRNA from 1 species
GCAAGUCCAGCACUACUGGCCAUCUGAUCUACAAGUGUGGUGGGAUCCACAAAAGAACCAUCGACAAUUUUGAGGAAGCUGCUGAGAUGGGAAAGGGCUCCUUCAAGCAUACCUGGGUCUUGGGUAAGCUGAAAGUUGAACGUGAGAGUGGUAUCACCACUGAUACCUCCCUGCUGGCAAUUGAGACCAGCAAGUACUAUGUGACCAUCCUCAAUGGCCCAGGAUGCAGAGACUUUAUCAAAAACCUGACCUCAGGCUAAUUGUGCUGUCCUGAUUGUUGCUGCUGGUGUUGAUGAAUUUGAAGCUGGUAAUUCCAAGAAUGGGCAGACGCGUGAGCACACCCUUCUGUCUUACACGCUGGGUGUGAAACUAAUUGUUGGUGUUAACAAAAUGGAUCCCAAUGAGCCACAGGAGAGAUGGGAGAAAUCAUUAAGGAAAUCAGCACCUACAUUAAGAAAUUGGCUACAACUCUGACAUAGUAGUAUUUGUGCCAAUAUCUGGUUGGAGUGGUCACAACAGGCGGGAGCCAAGAGCUCACAUGCCUUGGCUCAAGGGAUGGAAAGUCACCUGUAAAGAUGGCGAUGCUGUGGAACCACGCUGCUCGGAAGCUCUAGAUCACAUCCUACCACCAACUCACAAGCUCUUGGUUCUGCCCCUCCAGACGUCCACAAAAUUGGUGGUAUUGGUACUGUCAGUGUGGGCCACGUGGAGACUGGUGUUCCCAAACCUGGCAUGGGUUUUGAGACCUUUGCUCCAGUCAGUGUUAGAAUUGAAGCAAAAAUCUGUUGAAAUGCAGCAUG